UGGGGAAUAUUGCACAAUGGGGGAAACCCUGAUGCAGCGACGCCGCGUGAGGGAAGAAGGUUUUCGGAUUGUAAACCUCUGUCCUUGGUGACGAAAGAAGACGGUAGCCAAGGAGGAAGCCACGGCUAACUACGUGCCAGCAGCCGCGGUAAUACGUAGGUGGCAAGCGUUGUCCGGAAUUACUGGGUGUAAAGGGAGCGUAGGCGGGAGGAUAAGUUGGACGUAUAAACUAUCGGCUCAACCGGUAGAGGCGUUCAAAACUGUCCUUCUUGAGUGAAGUAGAGGUAAGCGGAAUUCCUAGUGUAGCGGUGAAAUGCGUAAAUAUUAGGAGGAACACCAGUGGCGAAGGCGGCUUACUGGGCUUUAACUGACGCUGAGGCUCGAAAGCGUGGGUAGCAAACAGG
rnacentral:rRNA from 1 species